CAGCCAGCCCUGCAGCACCCAACAGAACCCACGGAGGGGAGGCAAGAGUAAGUCCUGUGGCCCAGAAGCUAUUUACACCUACGUCUAUCUUUGUCCUCUCUGACGCACCGAGCACGCCGGUGGGCUGCAUAAAAUAAUUAUUCGAUUAGCUUUUCAUCGUGCUCUAGGGCACUUCGCGACAAACCUAAUAACCCUGCCCUGAGACACGAAACUCUUCCAUGUUUGCAACUGUUUUGGUUCAGUCACAACAACCUGAGAAAACACGAGCGACCUUAACCAAGGAUGAGGACAAGGCUGAGGCUAAUCAGAUACCAAGUGCUGGCUCUGGGGCAGAAAUGCAGGGAUAAAUGGCUUCAAGGAAUCUGUGUUGUUUGGACUGUCACAGCAUGGGCCUACUUCUACCAGCUGUGAGCAAAGGGAGGAGCAGCUGGGGGUCGAAGGUGACUGUAAGAUUGGGUUUCCAUUAUACCUUCUACUGUUGUUUUGGCCCGGAUCCUGCAAAACUUGGGCACAUGUUUAACUUUACUACUUGGAGUAGGCCCAUUGAUUUCACUCAUGGUAGUAAAGUUAAGCAUGUUUUUGCAGGAUUGGGGCCUUACUGUCUUCUUGCCCAUGAGUGUAUAUUAAAUGGAGGUUGGUAGGCUAAACAUUUGCCCUCCUGGUCAUUCUGAACCUGUUUUCAAAACCCAUGCCUUGUUGUGUUUCUUUCCCAAAAUCACCACUUCCUUGUUACUGUUGGGGGCUUGUUCUUUGUUUUAUAUCAAUGGCAACUGUAUUGAUGAGCAGCCCUAUAACAACAAAACAGCCCACAGAGCUCUGCGUCAGCAGCAUCCCUACAACAACAAAGCACAAUGUGGAACCCAGCAUGCUUGACCAAUGCUGUAAUUGUGAGUCAGGCGACCCUACAAUAACAAACCAGUCCUCAAAUCCUCAGCCAGUGUGACUACAUCCCAUUACUCACAAGCAACCCAACAAUGACAAACCAGAGCAUGUAGCCUGAUACUCCUGAGAGCAACCCUGCAAUACCAAACCAGUGAGCAUGCACCGGGGAG